UACGUGUGCGCCAAGCGUUAUCCGGAAUUAUUGGGCGUAAAGGGUGUGUAGGUGGUUUUGUUAGUCUUCUGUUAAAGCUCCCGGCUUAACCGGGAAAGUGCAGAGGAAACGGCAAGACUAGAGGAUGUGAGAGGUAAGCGGAACUCAUGGUGUAGGGGUGAAAUCCGUUGAUAUCAUGGGGAACACCGAAAGCGAAGGCAGCUUACUGGCGCAUUCCUGACACUGAAACACGAAAGCGUGGGUAGCGAAUGGG
rnacentral:rRNA from 1 species